rnacentral:pre_miRNA from 1 species
CUUAUUUGAAACCUUGGGUUUUCGUGUCCAGUUUGUCCAUCUGUCUUAUUUAAAAAAAAUAUAAAAAAAAUUAAAAAGUUGAGUCACGCAUAAAGUAUUAAUCAUGUUUUAUCAUUUAACAACAAUAAAAAUACUAAUUAUAAAAAAAAUUUCAUAUAAGACGGACAGUCAAACGUUGGAUACGAAAAUCCAGGGUU